rnacentral:tRNA from 1 species
CAGGGAGACAAAACAAUGAUUUUGAUGUCUGAGUAUUUCAUUCUUAGGCCGAAAUCCUGUCACCUUAGGUCGAUCGGUACCUCAACAUUUUUCCAAAGAUUGGUGAGCAAUCAUCAAGAGAUUGGAAGUGAUGUUCAGUUCCUAAACUUUGUCUAGGUCACACCCCGCAAGGGAAGAGUCCCCUGGGCCAUUAGCUCAGGUGGUUAGAGCGCACCCCUGAUAAGGGUGAGGUCCCUGGUUCAAGUCCAGGAUGGCCCAUUCGGUGUUGGGGGUUUAGCUCAGUUGGUAGAGCGCCUGCUUUGCAAGCAGGAUGUCAGGAGUUCGAGUCUCCUAACCCCCACUGACAGAACUCAAUCUCCAUUGUCCGGUAACUCGGAGGAUGAACUCAAAGGUGUGUGAUUUAGAUGUGUCCACUAGAUAGGACCCUAGCUUCCUGUCAUUCCGAACAAGUAAUUAUUGCUUGAUUGGCUGAUAUGAU